rnacentral:tRNA from 1 species
GCCUUCGUGGUAUAGUGGUCAGCACGUUCGAUGCGUAACCGAGAGGUCCGUGGUUCGAUUCCCGGCGAAGGCG